CCGCGCCGUAUUAGCUAGUUGGUAAGGUAACGGCUUACCAAGGCGACGAUACGUAGCCGACCUGAGAGGGUGAUCGGCCACACUGGAACUGAGACACGGUCCAGACUCCUACGGGAGGCAGCAGUAGGGAAUCUUCCGCAAUGGGCGAAAGCCUGACGGAGCAACGCCGCGUGAGUGAUGAAGGUCUUCGGAUCGUAAAACUCUGUUGUUAGGGAAGAACAAAUUUGUUAGUAACUGAACAAGUCUUGACGGUACCUAACCAGAAAGCCACGGCUAACUACGUGCCAGCAGCCGCGGUAAUACGUAGGUGGCAAGCGUUAUCCGGAAUUAUUGGGCGUAAAGCGCGCGUAGGCGGUUUCUUAAGUCUGAUGUGAAAGCCCACGGCUCAACCGUGGAGGGUCAUUGGAAACUGGGAAACUUGAGUGCAGAAGAGGAGAGUGGAAUUCCAUGUGUAGCGGUGAAAUGCGCAGAGAUAUGGAGGAACACCAGUGGCGAAGGCGGCUCUCUGGUCUGUAACUGACGCUGAUGUGCGAAUGCGUGGGGAUC
rnacentral:rRNA from 1 species